GGCCAAUCAACAUCUGGCGAUAACUCCUGUGAUCCACGGGACGUUAUCGCACAAAGCCCGUUUGCCAAGUCGUGAAGAAAGAUGGAUAGUUUUCAUCGUCCCGCUCCAUAAAUUCUCGUGAGAAAAUCCUGUGCGGCGAUAAAGGAAGAGAUAAGGAGAUACCAUAGGAAACUGCCAUUUUCCUUUGAUCCGAAAAGAAAUUGGAGAAACAUUUGUUUUUACAUGUUUUAUAACAGAGAUUUGGCUACCUGGACUUGUGCAAUGAAUGCAAUCUUGACCUUACGUCGGAUUACGGCCCGAAAACUCGGACGAUAAAGGGGCGCGUCGCUAGAAGCCCGGGUAACCUCGAUUUACAAAGUACGUAGCGGGGUGUGGAAGCGAAGAUAGAUUUUGGCUGGAUGCCAACAACGGCACUGCGGAUAUCGAUGGUGACACUGCGCGUUGGUGGGGCUUCGUUCGUUCGUUCGAUUGCACCACUGGAAUCUACCAGUUCGGGAUAACUUGCAUCUCCUCCUUCCUCAAGAGAUCUCCGUAUGACCGAGUAACGAAAUAUGCACGAGAUAGAAGAAUAGGUAGAACAAGACUGGCUGGUCCCGCGGGAAGACGAACUACGCUGUCAAACCUCCGAUCAAUUUUUCACUCACGUAAUUCCUUCGCUAUACAAUUUUCCGAUAUGUGUACUACUUGCUGUGUUGAACCUGCCAGCGUCGCAGGAGACCAGAUCGGGGUUUUAAAAUUCUCUUCCGUUCAAACGCAUCCUUGCUCUUCCUUCUCGUUCUAUUGUGCAAUAAUUGAAGAGUGGACAUGACACGAUAUAUUAAUAAACAAAAAGAUCGCCGAUUGAAAUAAGAAAUAAAUUUCAAUAACAUAUUGUAAAAUAGUCAAUCACGGAACACCUUCCUUUCUAAGAUUGUAAUUCUGAGAACAUAAAGGAUAGAGAAGAAUAUCUCUAAAUUAUUAUAGCUAUUAUAGGCAAUUCACCAGCACGUAGAAAAUUCGAUUUAAAUUAAAAAUAUACUUUCUUCUUCGUAAUAAAUUCUCUAAUUUUCUUCAUAA
rnacentral:misc_RNA from 1 species